AACGAACGCUGGCGGCAGGCUUAACACAUGCAAGUCGAACGCGUGUAGCAAUACACGAGUGGCGCACGGGUGAGUAACGCGUGGAUAUCUGCCUUUUGGUUCGGAAUAACUCCGGGAAACUGGAGCUAAUACCGGAUGGUUCCUACGGGAUAAAGAUUUAUCGCCAAAAGAUGAGUCCGCGUACGAUUAGCUAGUUGGUGAGGUAAUGGCUCACCAAGGCGACGAUCGUUAGCUGGUCUGAGAGGACGAUCAGCCACACUGGGACUGAGACACGGCCCAGACUCCUACGGGAGGCAGCAGUGGGGAAUAUUGGACAAUGGGGGCAACCCUGAUCUAGCCAUGCCGCGUGAGUGAUGAAGGCCUUCGGGUUGUAAAGCUCUUUGGUCGGGGACGAUGAUGACGGUACCCGCAGAAUAAGCCCGGCUAACUUCGUGCCAGCAGCCGCGGUAAU
rnacentral:rRNA from 1 species